rnacentral:tRNA from 1 species
GGGCAUUGGGUCUAGUGGUAUUAUUCUUGCUUUGGGUGCGAGAGGUUCGAGUUCGAUUCUCAGAAUGCCCC